rnacentral:rRNA from 1 species
AUUAGCCAUGCAUGUCUCAGUGCAAGCCAAAUUAAGGUGAAACCGCGAAUGGCUCAUUAAAUCAGUUAUGGUUCCUUAGAUCGUACCACUUUACUUGGAUAACUGUGGUAAUUCUAGAGCUAAUACAUGCAAACAGAGUCCCGACCAGAAGUGGAAGGGACGCUUUUAUUAGAUCAAAAUCAAUCGGUCGGCUCGUCCGGUCCGUUUGCCUUGGUGACUCUGAAUAACUUUGGGCUGAUCGCACGGUCCUCGUACCGGCGACGCAUCUUUCAAAUGUCUGCCUUAUCAACUGUCGAUGGUAGGUUCUGCGCCUACCAUGGUUGUAACGGGUAACGGGGAAUCAGGGUUCGAUUCCGGAGAGGGAGCCUGAGAAACGGCUACCACAUCCAAGGAAGGCAGCAGGCGCGCAAAUUACCCACUCCCGGCACGGGGAGGUAGUGACGAAAAAUAACGAUACGGGACUCAUCCGAGGCCCCGUAAUCGGAAUGAGUACACUUUAAAUCCUUUAACGAGUAUCCAUUGGAGGGCAAGUCUGGUGCCAGCAGCCGCGGUAAUUCCAGCUCCAAUAGCGUAUAUUAAAGUUGUUGCGGUUAAAAAGCUCGUAGUUGGAUUUGUGUCCCACGCUGUCGGUUCAUCGCUCGUCGGUGUCUAACUGGCAUGGUUCGUGGGACGUCCUGCCGGUGGUGGCGAGCCGAAAGCGUGCGGCCGCCGUGGUUGUUCCACGUGCGGUUCCUGCGCGCCGUAGGCGGACCCCGAUGAAAUCCUACCGCGGUGCUCUUCAUCGAGUGUCGAGGUGGGCCGGCACGUUUACUUUGAACAAAUUAGAGUGCUUAAAGCAGGCCGGCUGCGCCUGAAUACUGUGUGCAUGGAAUAAUGGAAUAGGACCUCGGUUCUAUUUUGUUGGUUUUCGGAACCCGAGGUAAUGAUUAAUAGGGACAGGCGGGGGCAUUCGUAUUGCGACGUUAGAGGUGAAAUUCUUGG